CGGACAGUGCUCACCGCUGCUGAUGUGCUC
rnacentral:piRNA from 1 species